UCAGUCAUGUCACUGAUGGGAUAUGAACUGGGAUAUGAACUUGCUUAUGGGAUACAAACCCAAUGAUGUCUUACUGAUUACAGGGGAGGAAAAAGAAAUCAAGUUGUUAGAGGUCAGAAUUCUUUUUAUUAUAAAGUAACUCCUCAAAGGUCCAUAAAUGAAUUCUAUUCAGUGAGGGAGACACAUCAAGGAAGUAUAGAGCUGGAAGACUUCCUUUUUUCUCACUAUUAAUAUUGAUACAUGGCAUUUUAAAAAUGUGUCUUCUAGUUCCAAGGCCGAACAUAAGGAUCAAAAAGUGGGUGGUGGCCCAAUUCCUGGAAAUCCCCCCCUUCCUGAAAUAGCUGGAAUACUCCUCCCACUCAUUAGCCUAUGAAAUUACCCACCCCUAUAAAAACUGACAACCCCAUACCCUGGGGCCGCUCUCGCCUUCUGAGAUGGCCCACACUCUGUCUAUGGAGUGUGUAUCUCUUGAAAUAAAUCCACUUCUUACCUUAAAAAAAAAAAAAUGUGUCUUCUGAUAUAGUUGCUUCACCAUAAUAACAAACAAUCUUAGUAUAUAAUAAUAAUAAUAAUAAUCUGCAGGCAUCCAUGUAUCAAAAUUUUUUUCAGAGAAUAUGCUGGUGGAGAGGCUCUCCACAAAAAAUAUUAAUAAUGAAGAGCCUGAGUUCUAGAACUGUGGUUUUUAUGAAGAUCCUGUUUACUUGAGUUCUAACCUCAGCAUAGUUACAGAAAGACUGAGAAUUCUCAGCAGUUAGUGUUCUUGGCAAUGAUCUGGGGAAGUACAAACGCAGCGUGGGUCAGCACAGAAGAUAGACAGGAAGGAGGUGGUGACCAGUAGGCAGCAUCGUGAAGGAUAUAAAGAGAAAUAGGACCUGGACUCAAAGAGUUGCCACCACCUUAUGCUAAGGGCUCAUAGUGAAGGCUAAUUUUUAAGAUAAAAACAUACCUAUACUGUAUUGUUUCUCUGAAGGAUUUGUUAGUAUUAUUAAACACACAUAUAUAAACAGUUAAUUGCCUAAUAAAUAAUAUUUAUUUCUUAAAUAGUUUCUUUUUAUCUCCUCAGUGAACACUUUUGGUUGUUGACAUCAAACUCUUGAGUUAUAAGAACGCCUGUCAAAGGCCUGUUAGAAAGUUCCUUGAAACCAGGUGGAUCGGACUGGUCCUUUAGUACAGUUGUAGAUGCCCACUGUGGGCAGACUGAGGAAACGACCCUCUUACCAGGAUGUGCUUGAACAAGGCCCAGGACAUUAAAAAAAAAAAAAAAAAAUCUUGCAAUUACACUUUUCUACCACUAGAUGAUAUGCACGUAUAAGCAAGAUGAAAACCCUCCUACCUUUCCUUUCUGCAUCAGUGGCCACAGGGAUGAUAGGGGCCAUCAAAGUUUACCACCUGCCUAUGGGCCAAAUCCAGUUUACCACCUCUCUUUGUAAAUAAAGUUUUAUUGGAACACAGCCAUGCUCAUUUGUCUGGGACUGAUUUUGCUCCACAAUGACAGAGAUAAAGAAAGUGAUUAAGGACACAAUGAAUCCUGGCACAUACGUUAAAUGACUGUAGCAGACAUACAUGACAAAGGCUGAUAGAUACCCCAUCAUCCCUACAGAAAAGGAAGGCGCACUGGACUGUUCCUUCCACUCAAUCUUUGUUGACUCUAAGAAAGGAGCAGACAAUCAACUGGUGUUAAGCCAUCAGUCAUCACUAUUCUCAGCUCAGCUGCCAAGAGAUGAAUGAGUUAGAUUCAACUGUCACUGAGGCCCUUCGAUAGACAUCAUCUCACUUAGAGGUCACAGCAACCCUUUGAGUGAAUCAUCUUCAUGGAUCAUCUCUGUCUGCUCCCCCUGGAGGGACCACUGAAAUGGAGUCGGGGGACAGGACAGGAGAAGAGCCCAGUGUGACAGGCCAUGGCUAGUUGGAGUACGACACCUGGGGAGUGUCUGGAAACAUUUCAGACGUGCUGACGGCGAGCUUUCCUCUCUGUGCUGCCCAGCUUCAGCUCGGUUUCUGCUAAGAUCUCUCUGGAGGUUCACAGGGAGUGAAGGGCUCAUUGCCCUGCUCUGUGUUGUUUGUCCUUGGCUUUAAUUGCCACUUGUGUCCUGAGCUAUGUGGUAAUAGCACUAAUAGCUAACAUUUGUUGACUGCUUACGAUCUGCCACUGUGCGAAGAGAUUUACACACAUUACCUCAUUGAUCUUGUUACAACCCUGUGAAGUUUUGCUAUCCUCGUUUCACAAAUGGGAAAACUGAGGUGUGGAAAGCUGUGACUUACAUUAGGGGUAUGUCUAAUCAGUGGCCCAGCUGGGAUUUGAACCCAAGUCUGUUCUCCACCAAAUCACUCAUUCUUAUCUGCCGUUCUGUACUGCCAGUAGGAUUAGGGUUUAGGUUCCUGAUAGUGAUCUGGAAGGAUUUCCAGCACUAUAAGUGACUCAAAUGGGAAGACUCAUCAGUUGCACAGACCAAAAGGUUGGGCUCCCAUCAGGUGUGGAUAAAUGAGAGGAAGCCAUCAGCUUUACGGAAGUGCAAAUGUGCCAGUGCAGUUACAAAUGAACGUCUCCAGUCAAAUCUGAGUCCUUUGUUUCAAGAUAAUCUGGCUCUCAUUGUAACCCCCAGCUUCAGGUAGCAAAUAUACGCUGAAUACUUUUCUGGAUGAGACCACUGGAGGCUGUAGUUGUUGUUUAAGGCACCUGAGUUCCAUUACAGACUAUACAUGGUUUAACCUUACAUUUAAGUGUUUGAAUGUGUGUGAGAGAGAUGUCAAGGGGUCCAGGAGUUUUCUUCAUUAUCUGUCAGAAGGCUUCAGCUUAGUGGAGUCAGAUAGACAUGGGUUCGAAUCCUCACUCUGGUACAUAUAAGCCGCGAGAACUUUGGCAAAUUAUCGUUCUUCCAGUCUUAAUUUCUUCAUCUUUAAAGAGGAGGUAAUAGUACCUGCUUCAGGGUGGUGCUGUGAGGAUUAAAUCCUAUACAUACGCAGUGCUUGGAGCACCGUAAGUGCUCAAAAAUUGGUAGCAGGUAUUGUUCUCGGUGACGCUGCUUUGUCUAAGAAGAGGCACUGAUGGAUCGUUGGUGGCGUUAAGUCCAUGUCCUCUGCCGUGCUGGUGAUGUCCUAUUUGAAAAUGAAAAGGAAUUUUUUUUUCUGAAUCUCCUCAGCAUCUUGCUGCCACAGGAAAAGAAAUCUGUUUCUACAAAGAGAUGCAAGAACUGGAGACACUGGAAGUUUACGGACUGGAGAAGGCGGCUCCGAGAAGAAAAGCAUUCUGGCGAUCAGCGACACUCUCCUGAGCCGCCCAGAUGUGGGCCAGAUGCUGCAACUCUGUAGAGACACGUCGGGCUCAGUGACUUGUGCCAUGACUUUCAUCCACGUGGCCAUGAAGGAUAGUGACUGAUCUCACUCCGAUGAUUAAGAGUGACUUCAGGGCUCUGGAAACAUGGGGGUAGGAGGCUGGGACUCAAGGGGGAGUCUUGACAAUCCUCCCAGUUGAGCAGAAGGGUUUCUGGAGCUGACAGCCCUGCUCUGGGGAUACAUGUCUACUUCACAUGCCUCGCCCCACACCUAACAUAGAAGAGGGCUCAGCAGGAAACACUGAGGGCACUUCAAUGGGAAGUGAUCUGCGAUUUCUGCCUUUGCAGAAAUCAUCUCUAGCGACUUUUUUUUUUUUUUCUAGCGACUUUUAUUUGGUGUUAUUAAAGACGAUUUUGAUGUGAUCUUAACUAUAGUGAUUCUUCCUAUCAUCACUUUCUCUUUCAUCAGCCUGUAUGGCCCCUUUUCUAGCUGGAAUUUCACUACACUGCUCAGCCUUCCAUUCCAUGCUUUUUAAAAAAUAUGACUACUUUAUUUAUUUGUGUAAUUGAACUAUAGUUGAUUUACGAUAUUUUGUUAGUUUCAGGUAUAUAGCAUAGUGAUUCAGUGUUUGGCAGAUUAUACUCCAUUAUAGGUUAUUACAAAAUAAUGACUAUAAUUCUCUGCGCUAUAUGGUAUA